GCAUUGGAACCGUGGGAAGCGAGUCUCCUGCCCAUCUCUGUUCAUCCCGGACAGUUGCAAUUGUGGAGGGACCCUCCAAUGACAUUGGACACUGGAGGCCCAGAGAAGGAAGUCCUCUGAAGAGAAUAAAAUAGUCCACUUAAAGCAACACCAGAAGUCUCUUGGGAUAUGUGAGGACAAUAGCUCCCUGUGUGUGCUGGAGACCUUGGACAAAGUCCCCAAGUCAUAUCCAUACCUACAAGGUGUCAGAAGAAAAGAUUACAACACAUCCCGUUUAAAGUGGGCUCAACCUACUCCAAGGCACCCUCUUCUGGUGAGAAUCACAGGCCUAGAAGGAAAGAAGGGGAUGUCUAUCAGCUGCCAUGCCUGUGCCUCUCUGCUUCCUUUGUUCCAUGCACAUGGCACACUGUCUACUUGCUCAAUGCUGUGGUCUCAGCCCUAGCACUGGACUCAGUAAGGAAUUAGUUGAGCGAAUGAAUGGAUUCUCCAGCAAUCUUUAUAAAAUAUGUUUUCCACAUUUUUCAGACAAGGAAACUGCAACAAAAAGUGUCAGACCCCACACUGUGAUCUCAACACUGCUGAGCUCUGCCUGGAAUCUUGGAACUCUCCAGCGAUCUCCUCUCCUUAAGAGUGGACGUGGGAUGCCUCCACGCAUUCAGUCAAAAUAAGGUUAUGGUGUGCCUGUUGUGUGCUAGGAAUUAUCUUCUCAUCAGAAAAAGAAUCUCUCUAUGUUUUGGGAAUAAGUGAAGAACAAAAUGAUGAUGUGUAAGAGGUUCUUGCCAAAUUGGUCGGCACAGAGAAGCCCUGGAGAAAGGCUGACAGUAUUGCUGGUGGGGGCUCUGCUGGCUGGUUUCCAGGACUCUUCCUCUGGGACAGCUUGUGCUUCCUGCCACCCUCCCCAGGGUCAUUUCUUAUCCUUCCCCAGUUGCAUUUUGAUAUUUCCUUUUAAGAUUUUACUGUUUUUCAAAAGAUCCAAAAGUAAUUAAAA
rnacentral:lncRNA from 1 species